rnacentral:rRNA from 1 species
UACGAAGGGGGCUAGCGUCGUUCGGGAUUACUGGGCGUAAAGCGCAUGCUGGCGGAUUGAUCAGUCAGGGGUGAAAUCCCGAGGCUCAACCUCGGAACUGCCUUUGAUACUGUCAGUCUUGAGUCCGGGAGAGGUGAGUGGAACUCCGAGUGUAGAGGUGAAAUUCGUAGAUAUUCGGAAGAACACCAGUGGCGAAGGCGGCUCACUGGCCCGGUACUGACGCUGAGAUGCGAAAGCGUGGGGAGCAAACAGG